GUGUGACUCGUCACACUAUCAUUAACUGAAUCCAUAGGUUAAUGAGGCGAACCGGGGGAACUGAAACAUCUAAGUACCCCGAGGAAAAGAAAUCAACCGAGAUUCCCCCAGUAGCGGCGAGCGAACGGGGAGGAGCCCAGAGCCUGAAUCAGCAUGUGUGUUAGUGGAAGCGUCUGGAAAGGCGCGCGAUACAGGGUGACAGCCCCGUACACAAAAGCGCAUGUGCUGUGAGCUCGAUGAGUAGGGCGGGACACGUGGUAUCCUGUCUGAAUAUGGGGGGACCAUCCUCCAAGGCUAAAUACUCCUGACUGACCGAUAGUGAACCAGUACCGUGAGGGAAAGGCGAAAAGAACCCCGGCGAGGGGAGUGAAAAAGAACCUGAAACCGUGU
rnacentral:rRNA from 1 species